UCCGAGAUAUUCAACGCUUUGCUUA
rnacentral:piRNA from 1 species